UAGAGAGCCUGAGGCAGGUGGGUUGACA
rnacentral:piRNA from 1 species